rnacentral:misc_RNA from 1 species
GUGAAGAACGUAGCGAAAUGCGAUAAGUAAUGCGAAUUGCAGAAUCCGUGAGUCAUCGAAUCUUUGAACGCACAUUGCGCCCUCUGGUAUUCCGGAGGGCAUGCCUGUUCGAGCGUCAUUAUCACCCCUCAAGCCCGGCUUGUUGUCGGAUGCAGCGCUUAUCCCGCUCCUCCCAAAGAUAAUGACGGCGUCUGCGACGACUCCUGUACACUGAGCUUUCGGGCACGUACACGGCUAGAAGUCCAGACCCGGUCGCCGUCCCCCCCGCGGGGACACCCAUUACCACAAGGUUGACCUCGGAUCAGGUAGGAAUACCCGCUGAACUUAAGCAUAUCAAUAAGCGGAGGA